GCCACGGGCAGGUGGUCACCCUGGGGCUGGAAGCCGUUCUCGUCAGCCACGAACUCCACGUGCACGGGAGUGCCGUCAGGAGCAGUAUAUGAGUAAGAACCGGCGCUGUUGAUGCCUCCAUCGGCGCUGGGAGCUCCAGACUCUGACACCACGAUGCCGUCUCCUGUCUCCACGUCGAAG